CCUACGGGAGGCAGCAGUGAGGAAUAUUGGUCAAUGGCCGGAAGGCUGAACCAGCAAUGCCGCGUGAAGGUCAGUGCCCUAUGGGCGUUAAACUUCUUUUGUGCGGGAGCAAUAAUGGUCACGUGUGGCCAGACGCGCGUACCGUACGAAUAAGCAUCGGCUCACUACGUGCUAGCAGCCGAGGGAAUUCGGGGGGUGCAAGCGUUAUCGGGAUUUAAUGGGUUUAAAGGGUGCGUAGGGUGGGAGUUAAGUCAGCGGGUAAAUGCCCCCGCUCAACGGGGUGAAGUGCCAUUGAUACUGUCUGGCUUGAAUGAGGAUGCCGUGGGAGGAAUGUGUGGUGUAGCGGUGAAAUGCAUAGAUAUC
rnacentral:rRNA from 1 species